rnacentral:rRNA from 1 species
UACGGAGGGUGCAAGCGUUAUCCGGAUUUACUGGGUUUAAAGGGUGCGUAGGCGGGCCAUUAAGGCAGUGGUGAAAGCUCCGAGCUUAACUCGGAAACUGCCAUUGAUACUAUUGGUCUUGAAUUCGGUCGAGGUUGGCGGAAUGUGUCGUGUAGCGGUGAAAUGCUUAGAUAUGACACAGAACACCGAUUGCGAAGGCAGCUAGCUAGACCGACAUUGACGCUGAGGCACGAAAGCGUGAGGAUCAAACAGG